rnacentral:rRNA from 1 species
AUGGCUCAGAUUGAACGCUGGCGGCAGGCUUAACACAUGCAAGUCGAGCGGUAACAUUUCUAGCUUGCUAGAAGAUGACGAGCGGCGGACGGGUGAGUACAACUUGGGAAUCUGCCUGAUGGAGGGGGACAACCACUGGAAACGGUGGCUAAUACCGCAUAACC